AUGUCCAUAAACGCGGUAAAAGUAUCUAAGAUUGCUGUGUACUUGACAUUUGCCACAAACGCAGCAUUAUUUCAAGCAGCUCUAUAUGCACUUAGUGGCUCAGACGCAUUCCAAUGGUUGAAGGUAUGCAACAAAUUUACAAGAUUCUGUGAACAAAUUGCAGGGGCCAUAUUAUGUUGCUUUUUAGCAUCUAUUUUAAUGGCUAUGAUAUCAACUAUCUCAGCCUAUAGAGUUUUCAGAAUGUAUUCUCCCAAGAGGUUCUUGCGUUUGAAAGGAAAAUGA